UGGGGAAUAUUGCACAAUGGGGGAAACCCUGAUGCAGCAACGCCGCGUGAGUGAUGAAGGCCUUCGGGUUGUAAAGCUCUGUCUUCUGGGACGAUAAUGACGGUACCAGAGGAGGAAGCCACGGCUAACUACGUGCCAGCAGCCGCGGUAAUACGUAGGUGGCAAGCGUUGUCCGGAUUUACUGGGCGUAAAGGGAGCGUAGGCGGAUAUUUAAGUCAGAUGUGAAAUACCCGAGCUUAACUUGGGUGCUGCAUUUGAAACUGGAUAUCUGGAGUGCAGGAGAGGAAAGUGGAAUUCCUAGUGUAGCGGUGAAAUGCGUAGAGAUUAGGAAGAACACCAGUGGCGAAGGCGGCUUACUGGACUGUAACUGACACUGAGGCUCGAAAGCGUGGGGAGCAAACAGG
rnacentral:rRNA from 2 species